AAAAAACAGCUCCAAAGAAGCAGCUGAAAGAGCGCAAAGAAAAAGCAACUCACACACCAAAAGUAAUGAAAGAUUUUGAUGAAGUGCCAUCUUCAAAGAAAGCCAAAGAGGAAACUGAAGACAUGACUUCCAUGAGGAAAGAAAAAACUCCCAUCAGUUUCUUCCAGUGUGUCUACUUGGAUGGGUACAAUGGAUAUGGAUUCCAAUUUCCUGUUACACCAGCACAUCAACCUGGAGGCUCCAGUCACCCAAAAUCACCAGGACAGAAGCAACAAGGACAAUAGGCAUGCAUGUGUGGUCGUACAAGCUUGUAAGAUUCUGAGUGUUAGAUCUUCCCUUGUGAUCCACCAGAGUACUGCCAGUGUGACCCAUUGGAUCAUUUGUAUUUGCCAACAUUUUAUUUCCUCAUCGGGUACUAUGAAAAAAUGUGGAUAAGGUGACUGAUAAACAAAGUAGGCAUGCUGAAGCAUCUUGUGUCAGGAAUAGUACUCAAAGAGCUCCUGAUAAAUUUUGUGGGGAUUUUUUG